GAUGCUAUUUCUAUAAGCAAAGAAGCGGACCUUUGCUGCACACAGUAUUUUUUUUUCUUUAGAAACAGGGUCUGAUUCUGUCUCCCAGACUGGAGUGCAAUGGCACGAUCAUAGCUCACUCAUUAUAACUUCAAAAUACUUGGCUCAAGUGAUCCUUCUGCCUCAGCUUCCCAAGUAGCCUGGACUACAGGCACGCACCACUGCAGCCGGUUGUUUUGUUUUUUGUAGAGACAGAGUCUCGCUUUGUUGCCUAUGCUGGCCUUGAAAUCCUAGCCUCAAGUGAUUCUCCUGCCUCGGCCUCCCAAAUAGCUGGGAUUAUAGUUGUGAGCCACCAUGCCUGGCAACACAGUAUUAGCUCCACUCCUACUCACUUCUGUGGCUGGAAGUCAACAAAAUUAACUUUGGAGAGAGCAGGGGGAAAGUGUAAAAACUGGCGCCACCCUGACGGUUGUCUUCAUGGAAAGGAUGUUGGCCACCUAGAGUGGAGUGAGAAGAGAGUCUAGGGUCCAAGUAACUCCCCUUUCUCCCUUGUCUCCAGGAUCUUAGACCACCUGUCCCAAAGUGCUGCCAGCUGUGGACCUCAGCGUUGCUCACAAGCCAGGUUCCCUCUCUGAGACCUGAUCAUGUGUGGCUGAACAUGGCGAAGGGAUCAGAGAGGUGAAGAACGCAGAACUAAUGUGUACUUGGAUGCUUGGUGGAGAGGAGACUGACCCACCGAAGCUGAGAUCACUUUGAGCUUGGGUUGCUGGAGGAUGUUGCAGCUCAGAGGCAGGUCCAGGAGCGCCAACCGGCCCAAUGGCUCCUAUGUCUCCCUGAGGGGUUGAGACCAGAGACAAGCAUCAGAUUAGGUUUCCCGACAGGGCUCUUGCACACACAGGACCCUCACGGCCAACCUUGCUCCAAUUCCCUAGAAGCAGCUGACUUCAUCUUUGCCAUUUCUGCAACGAGGCCACAUGUCCCACCCCUGGAGAGGAGGAAGCAUCUAAGUCAUCUCCCAACAUCACAAUUCCAGGAACCACGGACUUCUUGAGGAAAGCAAGUGCAUGAAAGCAUUGCACAUUCAUCCUUGGGAAUGGCCUGCCACUGAUCCCACCACCAGGGCCUCGGAAGGGGAAGUGGAAGUUCCAGGUUUGAACAGCAGCUCUGCCACUUCCCAGGAGCACACCAUUACUGUCUUUGGGCCUCAGGCUUCUCUUCCAUAAACAGGCACGUCAUCACG
rnacentral:lncRNA from 1 species